UACAGGGGGGGGCAAGCGUUGUUCGGAAUUACUGGGCGUAAAGGGCUCGUAGGCGGCCAACUAAGUCACACGUGAAAUCCCCAGGCUUAACCUGGGAACUGCGUGUGAUACUGGAUGGCUUGAAUCCGGGAGAGGGAUGCAGAAUUCCAGGUGUAGCGGUGAAAUGCGUAGAUAUCUGGAGGAAUACCGGUGGCGAAGGCGGCAUCCUGGACCGGCAUUGACGCUGAACAGCGAAAGCUAGGGGAGCAAACGGG
rnacentral:rRNA from 1 species